rnacentral:rRNA from 1 species
AGUGAACGCUGGCGGUAGGCCUAAGACAUGCAAGUCGAACGGCAGCACAGUAAGAGCUUGCUCUUACGGGUGGCGAGUGGCGGACGGGUGAGGAAUACAUCGGAAUCUACUUUUUCGUGGGGGAUAACGUAGGGAAACUUACGCUAAUACCGCAUACGACCUACGGGUGAAAGCAGGGGAUCUUCGGACCUUGCGCGAUUGAAUGAGCCGAUGUCGGAUUAGCUAGUUGGCGGGGUAAAGGCCCACCAAGGCGACGAUCCGUAGCUGGUCUGAGAGGAUGAUCAGCCACACUGGAACUGAGACACGGUCCAGACUCCUACGGGAGGCGGCAGUGGGGAAUAUUGGACAAUGGGCGCAAGCCUGAUCCAGCCAUACCGCGUGGGUGAAGAAGGCCUUCGGGUUGUAAAGCCCUUUUGUUGGGAAAGAAAAGCAGCAGGUUAAUACCCCGCUGUUCUGACGGUACCCAAAGAAUAAGCACCGGCUAACUUCGUGC